UGGUCAGUAGGUUGGUCGUGCCACCGGUACGUACUGGUCUCACUGAUUCCUCCUUCCUGAAGAACCGUAAUGCCAUUAAUUUGGUGUUGCGGGGAAGCAGGACUGUUACUUUGAAAAAAUUAGAGUGUUUAAAGCAAGCUAACGCUUGAAUACAUUAGCAUGGAAUAAUGAAAUAGGACGAUCGAUCCUAUUUUGUUGGUUUCUAGGAUUGACGUA
rnacentral:rRNA from 1 species